rnacentral:sRNA from 1 species
UACCUUUACAAUGUUUUAGUUCACACAAUGCUUCCCAAUUAAUAAUAUAGAUUCUGGAAAUUGACUUAGUGGUAAAAUCAUGAAC